rnacentral:lncRNA from 1 species
GCACGUCCCCGCGAAAAUACUCACGCAAGCAAGGAAAAUUCUAGGCUUCUUAUCAAUCACUAAUUCUUGAACUCAGGUACAUAGAAUUUUCUAUUCUCAAUUAUCCUAAAGUAGUAGUAGAAAGAAUAGAAUAGUUAAUUUCCUUCUUCCUCUAUAUCAACAAUAGAUUUCAUGUUUAGGUGUGAAACUUUAAAAUUGAUUAAAAUGCACUGGUUGUUGUAGAAUCGAUUAUUUGACUGGUGUCAAUUGGACCGGGGUCUACGUAUUGGCUCGAGAAGUUUUCAGGUGAGUUGAUAGAACCCUUUACUAAAGUGGUUUAACUCACAAAAGCACGCAUACAAAGUGUUUGAAGAAUUGCUUAAAAGAGUUUAUAUUUACUUAAUUGGAGCGAGUGAGUACUUAUUAACUUAGAAUUGUUCUAGCAAAAGUUCAGACGAUUUAUUACGAUAUACGUGCACAAAUUUUUAAAUUUUUGUGUUAUUCUUAUAUGCUAUUUUCAUGUUGAAAAUUAUGAAGAAGCAAGAAUCUUUCGAAAUACUUUUACAUGUUUAUUUCAUUCUUAUGUCAUGCUUUACAUUUAAGGAUACCAACAUGAGCAUGUACAUGAUGUUCUAUAAAGAAAAGAUCUAGAAUUGAAAAGUCACAAGAAGGAGUUUUACAAAGAAAAGAUUUUUGGGAGUAUCCUUUAUUCUGAAAAGGGGUCAUCGUCCAGGCCGAGGGUCCUGACCAAGGCGUUGGCUUCUUGAAACUACUUGUGCCAAAGUAUGGAGCACACGAGUCAAGAGUCUCGUUGCUGAGAAUUUACUUAGCCAUGCUAAGGUAUGAUACAUGAGCGCUGAGAACCAUGAAGCGAGUGGCACCUCGUGGAUUGGGCCUAUUCGAUCAAGUUGGGAUCGAACAUGUGCCGAUCACACGGUGACUGAAAUAGAAUUAAGUCAGUAUAGUUGGAACUUCCAAAGUAUAAAGUGAAGUAUUUUUUUUAUAAGAAAUAAAAAAAAGAACUUCUUUUAGAAUAUUCAUAAACUGCUAUUAUGCAAUUAUUUUAGAAUUAUGCUUAUAAGCUUUAUGUUUUACAUGCAUUUAGAACAGUUGCUCGUAAUGUAUAUGUUAUUAAAGUUUCGCCCCCUGUUGUUGAGCAUCACUGAGUACAAUGAAUGGUACUGACGUUCUCUUAUGGGAACCUACGUUGGUCUGCGGUACAACGUAGGAACCAGUUUUGCAGGCGAGCGGGCUACUGGUUAGGACUUUCUUCUCUUCCAGUGCUAUUGGUGAGCUCCGCUUUUGUUCAUGGAGUAUUCCUUAGAAUCAUCUUUAUUUAGUUAUUUCUUUGUUUACUUAGAGAACUGGCCAGGAAAUCUCAUGUCCUGAGCAGUGCGUCAAUUUAUCAGUAGAGGCUUCAUAGACAUAGUCGUUGGGUUAAGAUUCAGAUGUUUUGAUAAUAACUUAGCAGUAAUUCAGUAGUUACUACGAAUAAAGUUUUGGAGUUGAUUUAUUUAAAUAUUUAAAUUAAUCAAAAGUAUUUAGUUAGAGUAUUGCCUUGUUGCAUAUAAAGUUUGGAGUUAUAAUAGAAUUGAUAAGCAGAGAUGGUUCGCUCGGUCAUGUUUUGUGAUCGAGUAUCGGUCCCGGCUUGUUCAGAAAAUGGGUCGUGACAAACUUGGUAUCAGAGCCUCAGGUUUAUGGAGUUCUAGGGGACUAUGAAGUUGUGUCUAGUAGAGUCUUAUUUAUGGGUAUGUCUUGCACCAUUGCAUGACAUAUUAGGAAAAUUUCCUUUCUUUGAAUCUUAGAUCGUGCGUUAAAGCUUAAAGUGAGAAUUUAGUUCCCACUUCUGCUAAUCUCAUGAAUGAUUGGUAUACUCGAUGUGAUUACAGAAUGCAAGGUUCAAUACACGAGUAAUAACCUCAGUUGCUUGAGGUAUAGUUAAGUUAAGGAGAUGUCCACUAUACCUCAAAAUGAGAACUAUAUUAAAGACAUGCGGCCAAGAAAGAGGUUAUCGUAAUCCUUAUAUUUUCAGUUAAAUGAAAAGGGAAAGUUGUAGAGGAAUAUGAGUUGACGACAUCAUCGAAUAUUGAAAUUAAGAAUUGUACCAGGACUCUGGAGGAGUUGAUAACAGUGAAAGUAAUGUGGAAAUGUUGAAAAAAAAACAUACCACAAGUUAAAGUUCUAGUUAAGUGUUAUUUGCAAUGCCAUGGGUAGUCACUAUGACGGUACCAUGGAAUGGAUUAAAUAAGAGAGACCAGUAAAUGAAAAGGUUAAGAGCCAACUAGGAAGGUUCGUAUCUCAAGUUUCUACUUUGGAACCCCUAGAAUGGAUAAGGUUUAAUUGGUCAAGGAUAUGCAAAAUAGCCAAUGUGCAACAGGCACCAUCGAAUAGAUUUGUACCUACUACUGUCUUCCUCACAUAGUUAAGGUGAUGAAAAUAUGGGAAAGAGGUUGAGAUCUAAAUAGUCGAGGGUCGUUUCUUCCUCUAGUGAGAUAUGAGAGGUGAUAUCUCCACUUUCGUAUGAGACAAUGUUGUAUGGUUACCUUGGUAUGAGAAUAAAAAGUUAGUAUAAAGUGAUCCUAUUCUAUUUCAAGUAAGUUAAGUGGUUAAUGGUUCUUGAGUGAUGAGGUAUAAAGAAGCAUAGGAAAUAUCUUUCUUGCAAGUAUUAGUGGAGUGUAAAAGAAUAUUAAAAGACAAGCAAUUUUGCUUGAGAUGAGUAUUUCCUACUAGCUCUUUAAUAUAAGUAGCUUCCGAUGACUUAAAAGGAACUCUAAAGCUCAGUUGGAUUCAUACCCUCGCAUUAACUUGUUAAUUCAAAAGGUAAUUACAGAAAGUUAGAGUAACCUCCUUUUCUAGUUUAACCAAGCUUAUGGAGAUCAAGAACUAAAAAAUAAAAAUAAAAAAUAAAAAACUGGUAAUCUUGCAGGAGAAGUUUUGUUAAUCUAAGAUAAGCUUCAUUUUGUGAAGUUGACUAUUCUAUUCAUCGAUUAAGACAUAUAUAAUGAUUUUACCCAUUUAAGAAAAAGAGAAGAAGUGAAGUUUAUCAAAGGAUGGAUUAAAGCGCGCGGAUCAAAAUUAUCAACAGUCUUAUACAAAUAAAAAGGCAUUGAAAACAUGAUUCUACAGCAAGAAACCUUGUGUUUUUGAAAUUAACUCUAGGAAAGGGUGUCGGGAAACUUAGGAAUAAAGGAAAAUCUAGCUUGAGCGAGGUUUAUUGGGCCAUAUGAAAUUAUUAGAGAUAUGAGGAAGUAGCAUAACUUGCCUGCUCUCAGAGUUGCCUUUCGUACAUCCAGUCUUUUAUAUCUCCAUAUUGAGGAAGUAUGUGUACGACUCAAGUCAUGUAAUUCCUUCUCAAAAUGUACAAGUUGAUGAGACGCUAUCCUAUGAAGAGGUUCCAGUUGUUAUACUUGAUAAACACGUUCAGAUUACAAAUUAGAAAUGUUGCUUCAGUAAAGGUAUCAUAGAGAAAUCAUUCGACUAAAGAAACCUGAACAAACUAUGGAGAUUGGCUUCAUUCCACCGGUAUAUAAUUUAUUUAUUCUUCUGAGUGAUGGAAUGCAGCUAGGUGCAUAUAUGUUCAAAAUGGUGAGAUGAUAACAUCUGAUAUUGUAUAGUGGAAGUAUCAUGUUAUUCUUCUAGAUUGAGUAGUUGGAUGUGCAACUGUUUUUAUUGCGUAGUAAUGACAGGUUGAAAUUUUGACUUAAUAGAAGCAGCGGUGGAAACUCUAUCGAAAUUUUUAAUAAUUUAACAAGUUAGUCAAAUGUUGGGGUCUUAAGAGAAAGGUGAAAACGGAACAGACCUAAAUCACUCAUAUACUCAACGAUAUCUGUGACACAACAUUCGAGGACGAAUGUUCCUAAGCGAGGAAGAAUGUAAAGUCCCGUAAGUUUCAAGGCUUAAAAUUUGAGCACCGCUUUCCAUCCAUAGACCGAUGACCAGGUAGAAAGGUCCAUUUAGACUCCCGAAGAUAUGUUGCGAGCAUCUGUUAUAGACUUUGGAGGUAAUUGGGAUGAUCACUUGCCACUUAUAGAAUUUACUUACAAUAAUAGCUAUCAGGCUAGCAUUGGUAUGACUCCUUAUGAAGCGUUAUAUGGCGGAGAUGUAGGUCUGCAAUGGGUUGGUUUGAACCAGCAGAGGUACCGUUGAUUGAUCCAGAGUUUGUUUGUUAGGCCUUAGAGAAAGUUCAGCUAAUCAGAGAAAGACUGAAAGCGACUCAGAGUCGUCAAAAGUCUUAUUUUGAUAAGAGACAUCGUGAGUUAGAUUUCAUGGUUGGUGAUAAGGUAUUUUUGAAAGUUUCACCAAUGAAAGGAGUUAUGAGGUUUGGUAAGAAAGGGAAACUUAGCCCCAGAUUUAUCGGACCUUAUGAAGUUCUAGAAAAGAAAGGAAAUGUGGCUUAUGAGCUAACGCUAGCCAUUGAGUUGUCCUCUGUUCAUCUUGUCUUUCAUGUGUCUAUGCUUAAAAAGUACAUCCAUGAUGAGUUGCAUAUAAUACCUACCGAUACCAUAGAAAUUAAGGAACGACUGACUUAUGAAGAGGUACCUAUAGAAAUUCUCAAUAGGCAAGUAAUAAAGUUGAGAACAAAAGAUAUAACAUCGGUAAAAGUUUUGUGGAGUAAUCAUGAUUCAAAAGAGGCUACGUGGGAGGUUGAGGAAGAUAUGGGGAACAGAAAUAUCCAUAUUUAUUUGAGACAAAAGGUAUACGAACCUAGGUUUGGAUUGACAUUUAUAUGUUAGCAUGUGUUUAUGUCCUUGCUAGAUUAUACUUAGUUGUGGAAGUAAUUUAGUUUUAUCAGAGUAUAUUUAGUUAUUUAAUAAUUUAGUGUCAUGCUAUAGUACAUUUAACUCCUUAAAGUGAUUUAUUUUUGCUAAAGUAUUGUGCUUUAGAUUCUUGUUGAUUAUUGUGGUACCUCCUUGUCGGAGUGUGAGUAAUUAAUUUAUGAGUUGUAUAUGGUGCCUAAGAAUAGCCUGUUAUGGUAUAUUUGGUUGUUGUUGGUGUAGUUGUGGUAUUUAUGACAGGGAUAUUUUUUUGGAUAGUCCAUUUUACAAGGGAUACUCUGUCGAAAUUUUUGAAAAUUUAGGGAGUUAGCCAAAAUUUUGAGUCCAUUAGAAGUGUGAGUAGUGCUAAGAAACCUUAAGAGGUUUAAGGACUUAAGGAAUGAUUGUUAGCUUAAGAAUAAAGUCCUAGCAACAUUCGAGAACGAAUGUUUUUAAGGAGGGAAGAUUGUAACACUCCUCAAAUCUAUAAAAGUUUCAAGACACGUUAAAUAUAGAAUUUAAUUUCUCCCCUCAAAUUAUACUUCUAUUACGAAUUUAAAUCCUUGUGAGUGAUUUUGAGUUACACCUAUAUUUAUAAAUAAGUGGCUAUACAAUUAGGGAAUAUUAAUAAUUUUAAUAUUAUUAAUUAUUAAAAGUGGGUAUCAUUAAUUAUUAGUUAAGUUAUAACAAAAAUAAACCAAAACAAAACAAAAAAAGGGACAAAAUAAACAAAGCCCUUAAGCCCAUAAAAGGGCUAUUGAAAAGCGUAAGGCAGGCUUAAAGCCUUAAGCCUUUGAACGAAAAAGAAAUUCCAAGCAGAUUUCUGCGUAUAAGAAACAAACGCACGUCCUAGCGAAAAUACUCACGCAAGCAAGGAAAUUCUAGGGUUCUUAUCAAUCACUAAUUCUUGAACUCAGGUACAUAGAAUUUCCUUUUCUCAAUUAUCCUAAAGUAGUAGUAGGUAAGAAUAGAAUAGUUAAUUUCCUUCUUCCUCUAUAUCAACAAUAAAUUUCAUGUUUAGGUGUGAAACUUUAAAAUUGAUUAAAAUGCACUGGUUGUUAUAGAGUCGAUUGUUUGACUGGUAUUAAUUGGACCAGAGUCUACGUUGGCUCGAGAAGUUUUGAGGUGAGUUGAUAUAACCCUUUACUAAAGUGGUUUAAUUCACAAAAACACGCAUACAAGGUGUUUGAUGAAUUGCUUAAAAGAGUUUAUAUUUUGUUAAUUGGAGCAAGUGAGUACCUAUUAACUUAGAAUUGUUCUAGCAAAAGUUUAGACGAUUUAUUACGAUAUGCGUGUAUAAAUUUUUAAAUUUUUAUGUUAUUCUUAUAUGCUAUUUUCAUGUUGAAAAUUAUGAAGAAGCAAGAAUCUUUUGAAAUACUUUUACAUGUUUAUUUCAUUCUUAUGGCAUACUUUAUAUUUAAGGAUAUCAGCAUGAGCAUGUACAUGAUGUUCUAUAAAUAAAAGAUCUAGACUUGAAAAGUCACAAGAAGGAGUUUUAGAAAGAAAAGAUUUUUGGGAAUAUCCUUUAUUCUGAGAAGGGGUCAUCGUCCAGGCCGAGGGUCCUGACCAAGGCAUUGACUUCCUGAAACUACUUGUGCCAAAGUAGGGAGCACAAGAGCCGAGGGUCUAGAUGCUGAGAAUUUACUUAGUCAUGCUAAAGUAUGAUACAUGAGCGCUGAGAACCAUGAAGCGAGUGGCACCUCGUGGAUUGGGCCUAUUCUAUUAGGUUGGGAUCAAACCUGUGCCGAUCACACGGUGACUGAAACAGAAUUAAGUCUGGAUAGUUGGAAUUCCCAAAGUAUAAAGUGAAAUAUUUUUUCUAUAAGAAAGAAAAAGNNNNNNNNNNNNNNNNNNNNNNNNNUUUUAGAAUAUUCAUAAACUGCUAUUAUGCAAUUAUUUUAGAAUUAUUCUUAUAAGCUUUAUGUUUUACAUGCAUUUAGAAUCUUUGCUCGUAAUGUAUAUGUUAUUAAAGUUUCGCCCCCUGUUGUUGAGCAUCACUGAGUACAAUGAAUGGUACUGACGUUCUCUUAUGGGAACCUACGUUGGUCUGCGGUACAACGUAGGAACCAGUUUUGCAGGCGAGCGGGCUACUGGUUAGGACUUUCUUCUCUUCCAGUGCUAUUGGUGAGCUCCGCUUUUGUUUGUGGAGUAUUCCUUAGAAUCAUCUUUAUUUAGUUAUUUCUUUGUUUACUUAGAGAACUGGCCAGAAAAUCUCAUGUCCUGAGCAGUGCGUCAGUUUAUCAGUAGAGGCUUCAUAGACAUAGUCGUUGGGUUAAGAUUCAGAUGUUUUAAUAAUAACUUAGCAGUAAUUCAGUAGUUACUACGAAUAAAGUAUUGGAGUUGAUUUAUUUAAAUAUUUAAAUUAA